rnacentral:rRNA from 1 species
CUCGCUGAACUUAAGCAUAUCAAUAAGCGGAGGAAAAGAANCCANCAGCGAUUGUCUCAGUAACGGCGAGUGAAGCGGCAUCAGCUCAAAUUUGAAAUCUGGCUCCCGCGGGGCCCGAGUUGUAAUUUGGAGAGGGUGUNUCGGGUGCGGAGCCGGUCUAAAUUCCUUGGAACAGGGUGUCGCAGAGGGUGAGAAUNCCGUACGUGACCGGCGACCAACNACCGGUGAAACNCAUUGGACGAGUCGAGUUGUUUGGGAAUGCAGCUCCAAAUGGGUGGUAAAUUCCAUCUAAAGCUAAAUACCGGCCGGAGACCGAUAGCGCACAAGUAGAGUGAUCGAAAGAUGAAAAGCACUUUGGAAAGAGAGUUAAACAGUACGUGAAAUUGUUGAAAGGGAAGCGCUGGCGACCAGACCUCGUUCCGGGCGAUCACCGCCCCGUUUCGGGUCGUGCACUCGUCCGGAUCCAGGCCAGCAUCGGUUUGGGCGGUCGGAUAAAGGCGGGCAGGAUGUGGCUCCUUCCGGGGAGUGUUAUACCUGCGCGCGCAAUGCGGCCAGCCGGGCCCGAGGUCCGCUUUUCGGCUAGGAUGCUGGCGUAAUGGUCGUCAGCGACC